rnacentral:sRNA from 1 species
GCCAGAUGUGGUGGCACACACCUGUAAUCCCAGCAACCUGGGAGGCUAAGACAAGAGGAUAGAUAGUUUGAGGCCAACCUCAGCAACUCAGCAAUAUCCUAAAGAACUUAGCAAGACCCUGUCUCAA